GACGAAUGUAGAAUGUACAAUUGCUGCUCGCUAAUGACAUCUUCAUCAUAUCUUUUCAGCAUAAUUGGCAUACAAACGCACAAUCGCAGCGCAAAUCUUGAGGAGAGGAAUCAUUUAUAAUCCAAUUGCAGAUUAAUGGGCUGCGUAAUCCAAUUCAUAUUCGUUGUCUGCCAAGCACACUUAACAUAGAUUCUUCUUGCGAAUGAUUUACAUUUUAAUCAGGCAACAAACAUUUAUAAUGCGGCACAGUUGCACACAUCAUCAUCGGAAGGAAGGCCACUCAAGAGGCAACCAGGGAGGAGGUGCUAAGUGCUACUCAAAUGUGGCACAAGGU